rnacentral:rRNA from 1 species
UACGAGGGGGGCAUGCGUUGUUCGGAAUUAUUGGGCGUAAAGGGUGCGUAGGCUGUGCGGUAAGUCACCUGUGAAAUCUCCGAGCUCAACUCGGCGCCUGCAGGCGAAACUGCCGUGCUGGAGUAUGGGAGAGGUGCGUGGAAUUCCCGGUGUAGCGGCGAAAUGCGUAGAGAUCGGGAGGAACACCUGUGGCGAAAGCGGCGCACGGGACCAUUACUGACGCUGAUGCACGAAAGCUAGGGGAGCAAACAGG